UACGGAGGGUGCAAGCGUUAUCCGGAUUCACUGGGUUUAAAGGGUGCGUAGGUGGGCAGGUAAGUCAGUGGUGAAAUCUCCGGGCUUAACCCGGAAACUGCCAUUGAUACUAUCAGUCUUGAAUACCGUGGAGGUAAGCGGAAUAUGUCAUGUAGCGGUGAAAUGCUUAGAUAUGACAUAGAACACCAAUUGCGAAGGCAGCUUACUACGCGAAUAUUGACACUGAGGCACGAAAGCGUGGGGAUCAAACAGG
rnacentral:rRNA from 1 species